CCUCCGUAAUGAAGCAUCUCCUUGUGGCUUCUUAUGCAACCAACAUUUGCAUGAAUGAUGGCAUUUGCUAGUUCUCUGUUGUUCUGCGGUUUAUUCUGGGAGAGGCUGCUCUUGCUCAGCUCUUGCUGGGCCAGCAUAUAAAUCACAUGGGCAGCAGCUGGAUAUGCAGACCUGCCUAGCCAUGAAGUCUGGUGGCCUCCUUUUGCUCCUUUCCCUCUGCGCACUGAUGCCUGCAUCCUUUGGUCGAGCGAGGCCUGGAUCCUGCCCUCCCUUCCCUUCAACAAUGUCACCACCUUGCUCCAAACUCUGUGUGGAUGAUAUGGACUGCGCUGGAUACUACAAAUGCUGCCGCAAAAUGUGUUCAAUGCUCUGUAUGGAGGCUUUGCCAGCAGGAACGUGACAAAGAUGCAGAGCCUGAAAUCCCCUCCACCAGCUCAGUCUUGGACUCCUGGCUCCUGUGAUUCGGACCUCGGACCCUAAGUGCAAAGACUCUCUCCUACCCUCAUGGGCAGGUCCCAGCAUCUCAGCUACAUGCCCCAUUUCCCACAUUGCAAUAAAGUGACAUGAUGGUC